UGGGGAAUAUUGCACAAUGGGCGCAAGCCUGAUGCAGCCAUGCCGCGUGUAUGAAGAAGGCCUUCGGGUUGUAAAGUACUUUCAGUCGGGAGGAAGGUGGUAAGGUUAAUAACCUUAUCAAUUGACGUUACCGACAGAAGAAGCACCGGCUAACUCCGUGCCAGCAGCCGCGGUAAUACGGAGGGUGCAAGCGUUAAUCGGAAUUACUGGGCGUAAGCGCACGCAGGCGGUUUGUUAAGUCAGAUGUGAAAUCCUCGGGCUCAACCUGGGAACUGCAUCUGAUACUGGCAAGCUUGAGUCUCGUAGAGGGGGGUAGAAUUCCAGGUGUAGCGGUGAAAUGCGUAGAGAUCUGGAGGAAUACCGGUGGCGAAGGCGGCCCCCUGGACGAAGACUGACGCUCAGGUGCGAAAGCGUGGGGAGCAAACAGG
rnacentral:rRNA from 1 species